AUGGAGGACGCCGCGAACGCCACCCAGACCACCUCCACCACCUCGUCGGUGGCCGCCGUAGCCGCGGCGGCCCAGCACCAGCAGCUUCAGCGCCAGCUCUUUCUCAUGCAGCAGGCUCAGGCUCAGGCGCAGGCCCAGCCCCACCCGCAGGCGCAGCAGCUGUCGCAGCAGGCCAUGUCCCGCUUCCCGUCCAACAUCGACGCCCACCUCCGCCCCCUCGGACCGCACCGCUUCCAGCAGCCGGCGCCGUCGCAGCUCCAAACCCCACCCCAGCCGCACUCGCAGGGGCAGCCGCAUCCCCAGCCGUCCCCGCAGCAAGCGGCGCAGGCUAGGGUCCGGAGCCCCGAGGUGGAGAUGGCGCUUCAGGACGCCAUGCGGGUCUGCAACCCGGACAUCAAGACGCCUUUCCAUUCUCUCGCGGACGCCGUUAGCAGGUUAUUGCCUUACCAUGUUGUUGCUGACUACGAGGCUGAAGAAGAUGACAGGAUCCUUGACAGCGACGCAACUGGCCAGAUUCCCUCUCGUCUUCAGCAAUGGGAUCAUAACAUUCUGGUAAAAAUUGCUGAGUUCACAACAACUUUUGAGAAGCAAGUGUUGGCAUACAACAUAAUGACCAAGAAAAGGGCCAUUGGUGAGUUUCGAUCGGAGGAGCGACUCAUGCUAGAGCAAGCUUUGUUACAGGAGGAGAAGCAGGCUUCGAUGGAACUAAGAGCAGAGAUAGAAUCUAGGGAGAAAGCAGGCCGCGAGGCUGCUGAAGCUAAGAUGCGUAUGGCCAUGGCUGAGCAUGCUCGAGUGGAAGCUCAAGCACACGCUGAGGUGAUUGGUCAUGGCCCUUUGAGGGCCAAUGCUGCUGCUUCCCAAGGCGAUGAUGGUCCUAGUCAUGACAUGGCACAAGAACAGGUUGAAGAUGGAUGGGAAAACACUCAAAGGGAUGAUGAUGAUCCAUCCGAGGAUUUCCUCAAUGAUGAGAAUGAGCCAGAGAAUGGAAACUCUGAUAUGCAAGAGGAGUGGCGGCGAUCGGGGGAAUUUGAUCUAAACUCUAGGUAA
rnacentral:rRNA from 1 species